rnacentral:rRNA from 1 species
UACAGAGGGUGCGAGCGUUAAUCGGAAUUACUGGGCGUAAAGCGUGCGUAGACGGCUAUCUAAGUCGGGUGUGAAAGCCCCGGGCUCAACCUGGGAAUUGCAUUCGAGACUGAAUAGCUAGGGUACGGUAGAGGGAAGUGGAAUUUCCGGUGUAGCGGUGAAAUGCGUAGAUAUCGGAAGGAACAUCAGUGGCGAAAGCGACUUCCUGGACCAGUACCGACGUUCAGGCACGAAAGCGUGGGGAGCAAACAGGA